AAGGCAACAUAAAGUCUUCUCUUGUUAGGAAGAGGUGUAGGGGGAUUUAUCUUUGCAAGACCUUGCUUUUUACCUCUCGUACUCUUUUCUUAAUGGGAGGACUAGGAAUAAGAGUAGGAGUUGAACGGUUAGCUCUUCUUUCCUGGCUUUGUCAUUAUACGAGGAUGAACUGGCACAUAAGGUGCGUAGCGCGGCUCUCUGGUCCACUAGUAGUAGGGACUUGAAGACCGGUACAAGAGGAAAGAGGUUACCAAUCUUCUCUGCUUAAUCAGUCUCUUCUGGUCUCUUCGCUCGAAAGCCAGCUACCCAGCAAGCUUGCCUUCUCGUACUUGCCUCAAGAAGUUUACAUUAGUCCGCUACCCUAUAGUUCUUAGUAUACGGUUAGGUAGGGAACAUUUUUUACUAUCUUUCUU
rnacentral:misc_RNA from 1 species